rnacentral:rRNA from 1 species
GACGAACGCUGGCGGCGUGCUUAACACAUGCGAGUCGAACGGAAAGGCCCUGCUUUUGUGGGGUGCUCGAGUGGCGAACGGGUGAGUAACACGUGAGUAACCUGCCCUUGACUUUGGGAUAACUUCAGGAAACUGGGGCUAAUACCGGAUAGGAGCUCCUGCUGCAUGGUGGGGGUUGGAAAGUUUCGGCGGUUGGGGAUGGACUCGCGGCUUAUCAGCUUGUUGGUGGGGUAGUGGCUUACCAAGGCUUUGACGGGUAGCCGGCCUGAGAGGGUGUCCGGCCACAUUGGGACUGAGAUACGGCCCAGACUCCUACGGGAGGCAGCAGUGGGGAAUAUUGCACAAUGGGCGGAAGCCUGAUGCAGCAACGCCGCGUGCGGGAUGACGGCCUUCGGGUUGUAAACCGCUUUCGCCUGUGACGAAGCGUGAGUGACGGUAAUGGGUAAAGAAGCACCGGCUAACUACGUG